rnacentral:ncRNA from 2 species
UGGGAGGACGAGGGUGACGGUUCCCUUUCGGGGGACGAGAAAGGGAAUGCGGUGAGGCGCGAGCCGAAUCCGCGGCUGCCCCCGCAACUGUGAGCGGCGAGCCUUCCACCACCUUACGUCACUGGGUGCCUCACACCUGGGAAGACGGUGGCAGGCACUGACCCGCGAGCCAGGAGACCUGCCGUCAGCCGUGGUCACAC